GUUGGAUGCUUGACAGACUGAACCACCCAGAAGCCAUUCCACAUGAAUACCCCGGAUCUGCCUAAUUGGGAGAUAACUCCAAGAUGACACCUAUCUGAUGACUGAUCUGCUUGCACAUGUUGAUGAAGCAAGCUGCUGUAUAGGAGAGGCCCAUAUGGCAAGAGGCUGAGGGUGGCUUCUGUUCAAUAGCCAGCAAGGAGCCGAAGCCCUCCCUCAGUCCAGCAGCUGCUGCUGACCACCACGUUGUCAACAUUGAAGGGAUAGCCUUCCAUAGUCAAGCCUUCACAUGAGACCACAGCCUUGGCCAACAGUUUGCAGCACUGCAAUUCCAACUGAGGACUCCACUAAGCAUUCAACUCUUGAUCUCAACUCAGGUCUUGAUCUCAGGGUCGUGAGUUCAAACCCCGUGUUGGGCACCAUGCUUAAAAAAAAAAUAUUCCUAGCAGCACUUUUCACAAUAGUCAAAAUGUGGAAACCACUUAAAUGUCCAUUAUUGGAUGAUUGGAUAAACCAGUGUGGUAUAAAUAUACUAUUCGGCCAGCUACAGCACGGAGGAACCUCAAAAACUUGCUUCGUGAAAGAAGUCAUACUGUAAAGGUGAGGUAUUGUAUCGUUCCCUCUACAUGAGAUAGCCUGACUACAUAAAUCCAGAGACAACAGGUUGGGGGAGGGGAAUGGUGUUACUGGGAAUGGGGAUAUAGUUUCCUUUUAGGGCGAAGAAAAUGUCUUAGAACCAGUUAUAGGUGAUGGCUGCCCAACAUUGUGAGUUUACCAGAUGCCACUGCGUUGUCCACCUUAACGACUGAACCACCCAGGCACUUUUUUUUUUUUGAGAGAGAGAGAGAGCGAGCGAGCGAGCGAGCGAGCACAUUGUCCACUUUAAAAUGGUUAAUGGAGGAGCACCUGGCUGGCUCAGUGAGCACGCAACUCUGAUCCCUUGGUUGUAAGUUCCAUCCCCACACUGGGUGUAGAGAUUACUUUAAAAUAUUUCAGGGGUGCCUGGGUGGCUCCUUCAGUUAAGCAU